UCUGCAACUCGACUGCGUGAAGUCGGAAUCGCUAGUAAUCGUGAAUCAGAAUGUCACGGUGAAUACGUUCCCGGGCCUUGUACACACCGCCCGUCACACCAUGGGAGUGGGUUGCUCCAGAAGUAGCUAGUCUAACCGCAAGGGGGACGGUUACCACGGAGUGAUUCAUGACUGGGGUGAAGUCGUAACAAGGUAGCCGUAGGGGAACCUGCGGCUGGAUCACCUCCUUAAU
rnacentral:rRNA from 1 species